CGGCAACAGCUCAAAUUUGAAAUCUGGCUCUUUUAGAGUCCGAGUUGUAAUUUGUAGAAGAUGCUUCGAGUGUGGUGCCGGUCUAAGUUCCUUGGAACAGGACGUCAUAGAGGGUGAGAAUCCCGUCUUGGACCGGCGUAGGGCCCGUGUAAAACUCCUUCGAC
rnacentral:rRNA from 1 species